rnacentral:lncRNA from 1 species
CUUCCUCCUCUUCAGUCUUCCAAAUUGCCGUACUAUAAAGCACUGAGCUGAGCUCCCUCGCUGCUCCUCCCGCACGUUUCAAUUCAACAAACACUUCUUCAACUUAACUUUCCCCUCCUCCUCCUCCUCCUCCAUGUCAACCCCAACCUCCCCAUUUCCUCUUUCCCAAUAUGCCCUCCCAUUUCCCAACUAAUCCCACUUCUACCCCAACACCCAACUUCGACGACCCAACCUCCUCCUCCGACAACCCGAACGCCGCCCGAUCACCCAAAACGACACCGUCAGAGAUGUGGAACUACCUCUGGAUUCCUUUCCUGAUUUCCUUGUCCAAGGAGCUCAGCUUGGCCAAGGCCCAGUCCCCGAUUCUCUUGCCGAGUCAAC